rnacentral:lncRNA from 1 species
CAUUGAAUGACUGAGUCUACAGAGCUCAGGCCAGGGUUUGGCCUGGGAGCUGAGUGACCUGGCUGGGAGUCGCCAGGGUGUCCUGCCCGCGUGCCCCACUCAGGGUCUGUGCACCCUUGCGGAGCCACUCAGAUCCUCUGGGCUUCAGCCAGCGCGGUCUCACGUCCAGACGCGGUGAACGUGUCCACAGUCCUCAGGCGGGGAGGCCGGCACCUUUCCUUAGCUGUCACCCCCCAUGCCCAUUACCGCAGGGGCAGGGAAACUGAAGACCAGCAAAAAAGUGGAUUUACCUCAAUCUUGUUCGGAGGAAACUGCCAGUUUUCUUAUUCUUACACUGAGGUUGAAGAUGAAAUCUGCAAGAAAAAAUGACUUCUGGGUGGUAGAAGUUCAGGUCCAGAGAGUGAAACAAAGGAGCUUCCUGUGCUGAAGGCGGAAGCCACCAAGGCUGUGGUGUCCAAUUGGCCAGUUCCAUGCUGUGGGCCAGGACUGACGAGCCUGAUGCGAGACCGUGACCAGGCUCUGGGGAGGGGCUGCCCUCAGUCCUUGCUGCAUGGUUUCCGGAGCACAGGCCUCUUCUCAAAGCUGACAGGCCUCAGCUGACCUGCAGAUUUAUGGAGACUCAGGAAAGUUCUUUAUGGCCUUGGGUUUAUGGCUUUAAUAACCUACUCUCCAAGAGAGUGUCUGAAGAAGGAAGUUCCCCUGGCUGAGGGCCAGCAAAUUCCACGUAGCACUCGAUGGAGAGGCUGCCUGCUCCUCGCCAUGGACAGCUCAUCCUGGCAGAUGUCCUCAAGCUCAUUCAGUAACCCAGUGUUAUGGAUGCGAUUGGUCUUCAGGCUUCCUGGGAAAGCACUGUCUGUUACUGCUGAUCCAGGUCCUUCUGCUCACACGUGAGGGAAGGCACCCCUUCGAUUUAUGUAAAUGUAGUUGUUCAGUCUUUGUGACCGAGCAAUCCCACAUCUGGAAAUCCUAGAAGACUGAGUAAUUGAGAAAUUUAGCAUCAUAGGCUAAAAGGUCUUUUCAACUGGGUAUGGAUUGCAUUCUAUCUUUAAAUCUAUGAACUAUAGACUCUGAAAAGGAUUUUUUCAGUAAAUUUCAUCUUUCAUCUAUUUCCAAUUUCAGAUGAAGCUGAAAGGAACAGGUGAGUUACACUGGUGUGUGUUUUAGUCCAGUCACUAUCAAAAGUGCUACAUGUUGCUGUUGAGGACCCUCUGGUUUCUCAGCUUCAAGGAAAAGUGGAAUACCCUCACCAAGGAAACCUAAAAGCAAGCUCAUCAAUUCCCUAUGCUCAGUGUAAAGUGUGCUUAAUCCUUAAAGCCACUAUGUGUUUAAUCUCUGCCAGUGACAAUCGUGAAUCCAUUCAUGAGUCUAUCAACUAUGUACUUCUCUCUCUGCCUUUAAAUUAUGGCUUCUUCAGUAUGGAAGUUAAAGUUAACUCUAGAUGGUCAGAAAGACAUUGCUUUGAAUAACUUCACAUCUUCACAGCCUUUAACAAGUUUGCCCUUCAUUAUUACAAAAAUGCUCUCAAAACUUAAUACUUAAAAAAAGACCCCAAAACCCAGCACUAUAAUCAUCUGAUAUAACCAAUCUGAUAGUAUAAAUCGGUAAUCUCUGAUAUAUUGGCACAAAUCAAAAUCUGCAUUUUAAUAAGAUUGCUAGAAGAUUUGUAAACACAGGAAAAUUCUAGAACUUCUUUAAAAUGAAUGUUUCUGCAUCAAAUGUUACAAAAUGGCAAAUGUAGAAUGAAAGAAAAUAUAAAAAGUACGAGCUUUUAGAAUCAGGAAAAAAACUGCUCAAACUCUGGCUCUGUGAUUUUGUAUGAGUUACUUAGCAGCUUUAAUAUUUGUAAAUAUCCAUCAAUUUCUAGAAUAUACUAGGUACUUGAUAAACACUUGCUUUUCCUUCUCUAAAUUCAGGAACAGUAACCCCACGUGCCUUGGAUUAUGUGAUGUGUGCAAUAUUUAACGAGCAGUUAGUUAAUAGAAUCGUUCAUGAGCAGAGUGUUUGGUGCAUCGAGCUACUAAGACUCGUUAAUUUCUUAUUGCAACAUAACCUAAUCUCAUCUGAUCAGUGUAAAAUCAGGACCAUACAAAAAGUAUUCAAUAUGCAGCAUUUGCUUACCUGUCAGUUAAUAUGUCCCCAAGGGUACUGAUAUCGGGAGGGAGAUGGUGAUCUGUGAGUGCAGUGCAAAAAUAUCAAGUUAAAAUAACUGCUAACUGGGAAGUGAGAAAUAGAUCGUGAAGUUAGUGAAAUUACGGUGCCAGGCGAUAGGGUGAGGAAGGAGGAUAUUAAUGGUGUGCUAAAAGUGGCAGCAUUUGGCCCGUGCUACUCAGAGAGGAGCUCAGGACAGAACCGGCUGGUUUAGACGCAGGAAUAGCAGGCAGGGUCUGCGCGUGCUCCGGAGAACAGUGCCCGGAGAGCGCAUGCGACCCGGUAUUUACCGCAGCAGUGGCCCGAGCAGGGAGGAGGGAAGCAGGCGAAGCGCCGAGAGGACAGAGUGCCGGGCCCCGGGGGCGCUGAGCUG